UACGUAGGGUCCAAGCGUUAUCCGGAAUCACUGGGCGUAAAGCGUGCGUAGGCGGAUAUUUAAGUGUGAUGCGAAAUCCUGGGGCUCAACCCCAUGGACUGUAUCGCAUACUGGAUAUCUGGAGGAAUGCAGAGGCAAGUGGAAUUACCGGUGUAGCAGUGAAAUGCGUAGAUAUCGGUAGGAACACCAAUGGCGAAGGCAGCUUGCUGGGCAUUAUCUGACGCUAAGGCACGAAAGCGUGGGGAGCGAACAGG
rnacentral:rRNA from 1 species